rnacentral:rRNA from 1 species
UACGUAGGCGGAAAAUUAAGUCAGUAGUGAAAUCCUGCAGCUUAACUGUAGAACUGUUAUUGAUACUGGUUUUCUUGAAUAUAGUUGAGGUAGGCGGAAUGUGUAAUGUAGCGGUGAAAUGCUUAGAUAUUACACAGAACACCGAUUGCGAAGGCAGCUUACUAAACUAUGAUUGACGCUGAGGCACGAAAGCGUGGGGAGCGAACAGGAUUAGAUACCCUGGUAGUCC